UACUCGAGUGGCGAACGGGUGAGUAACACGUGGGUGAUCUGCCCUGCACUUCGGGAUAAGCUUGGGAAACUGGGUCUAACACCGGAUAGGAGCCAUUUCUUUAGUGUGGUGGUUGGAAAGUUUUUUCGGUGUAGGAUGAGCUCGCGGCCUAUCAGCUUGUUGGUGGGGUAAUGGCCUACCAAGGCGGCGACGGGUAGCCGGCCUGAGAGGGUGUACGGCCACAUUGGGACUGAGAUACGGCCCAG
rnacentral:rRNA from 1 species